rnacentral:misc_RNA from 1 species
GAUGAAGAACGCAGCGAAAUGCGAUAAGUAAUGUGAAUUGCAGAAUUCAGUGAAUCAUCGAAUCUUUGAACGCACAUUGCGCCCCUUGGUAUUCCGAGGGGCAUGCCUGUUCGAGCGUCAUAUUAACCACUCCCGCUUGCGGGGUCUUGGGCUUCGCCUCCGGGCGGGCCUUAAAAUCAGUGGCGGUGCCGUCGGGCUCUACGCGUAGUAAAUUUUCUCGCGAUAGGGUCCCGGUGGAUGCUUGCCAACAACCCCCAACUUCUUAAGGUUGACCUCGGAUCAGGUAGGGAUACCCGCUGAACUUAAGCAUAUCAAUAAGCGGGGA